CUUGUGUUAGUUGGAAAUCUCAACUUCAACAUGUUGUUGCUUUAUCCACUACUGAAUCAGAAUAUAUUGCUGCUACUGAAGCCUUUAAAGAAUCUUUGUGGUUUAAAGGUGUAUUAAAUGAACUUGGUGUUUUUGAUAACAAUGUGACAAUAUAUUCUGAUAGUCAAUCUGCUAUUCACCUAUGCAAAAAUCCUGUCUUUCAUGAACGUACUAAACAUAUAGAUGUUAGAUUGCAUUUCAUUAGAGAUAUGGUUUCUCAAGAACUGGUAAAACUUGAGAAAAUCCUUUCAGAAUAUAAUCCUGCAGACAUGGGAACUAAAGUGCUCCCAUUAGUAAAAUUUAGAAGCUGCCUUGAUCUUCUAAACAUUGGUACAAACUUGUAAGUUCUUUUUUUCUUUAAGUUACUUGUUAUCUUAUCUAACUUGCAGGAUGAUUUGGUAUCAAGGUGGAGAUUGGUAUCAGAGCAAUUUGUUGUUGUUAAUCCAACCUGCAACCACACAACAAUGGUUAAUGAAGGAUUAAAUCAAAAUAAAUCUAAUGGAAGUCAAGGAACCAAAAAAAAAAAGGCAGUGAACUGAAAUUUAAUGGAAGAAAAUGAAACGAAAUCCCCCUUUUUAAUUCGGCUCAGAAAUCUUCAACCCAACACCACAAAGGUAACUUCAAUUGGGAGACUUUUUCAUUCACGAAGAAGAAAAGGCACACAAAGGCACACCACAAAGGUCGAUUUGGGUUUUCACAGAGAAGGAAGAAAGGUUCUCACGCUUGGAAGAAGAAGGCAGUCGGCUUCUCUAUUUAAUUCAAAUUGGUUGAGUGUUUGGAUAUAUUAAAACUCUUGUAUAUUAUCACGAGGGAAAUCAAAUCUCCAAGAUAACAGGGAAGUUUAAAUUUGAGUCCAACAGAAACA
rnacentral:lncRNA from 1 species